rnacentral:misc_RNA from 1 species
AAGUCGUAACAAGGUUUCCGUAGGUGAACCUGCGGAAGGAUCAUUAACACGUACCAAACGUAUCAACCCCUUUAUACGAACCACCUAACCUGCCCUUUGCCUACGUUUGAGCUGAUGUAAAAAAUCAGUGAAGCAGCUUGCAGUUGGGAACGACUGCAUUGCUGGCGCUCUGUUUGUGUUGUGGCUUCGGCUGCACCACAAACAUCCGCGUAGAACUGUGUGCCUUUUCUUUUUCAACCCAUUCUCUGGUUUGACGAAAUUAACACUUCUUGUUUGGCGCUCUUCGGAGCACGGCAGGAUUUUAUUUAUUGAACUUAAACAACUUUUAGCAACGGAUGUCUUGGUUCUC